rnacentral:tRNA from 1 species
GCGAGCGUGGCGGAACAGGUAGACGCGCAUGUUUGAGGGGCAUGUGGCAGUUAUGCCGUGGGGGUUCAAGUCCCCCCGCUCGCACCA